rnacentral:rRNA from 1 species
UGUGUGUUAGUGGAAGCGUCUGGAAAGGCGCGCGAUACAGGGUGACAGCCCCGUACACAAAAAUGCACAUGCUGUGAGCUCGAUGAGUAGGGCGGGACACGUGGUAUCCUGUCUGAAUAUGGGGGGACCAUCCUCCAAGGCUAAAUACUCCUGACUGACCGAUAGUGAACCAGUACCGUGAGGGAAAGGCGAAAAGAACCCCGGCGAGGGGAGUGAAAAAGAACCUGAAACCGUGUACGUACAAGCAGUGGGAGCACGCUUAGGCGUGUGACUGCGUACCUUUUGUAUAAUGGGUCAGCGACUUAUAUUCUGUAGCAAGGUUAACCGAAUAGGGGAGCCGAAGGGAAACCGAGUCUUAACUGGGCGUUAAGUUGCAGGGUAUAGACCCGAAACCCGGUGAUCUAGCCAUGGGCAGGUUGAAGGUUGGGUAACACUAACUGGAGGACCGAACCGACUAAUGUUGAAAAAUUAGCGGAUGACUUGUGGCUGGGGGUGAAAGGCCAAUCAAACCGGGAGAUAGCUGGUUCUCCCCGAAAGCUAUUUAGGUAGCGCCUCGUGAAUUCAUC